rnacentral:rRNA from 1 species
GAUGAACGCUGGCGGCGUGCCUAAUACAUGCAAGUCGAGCGAACAGACGAGGAGCUUGCUCCUCUGACGUUAGCGGCGGACGGGUGAGUAACACGUGGAUAACCUACCUAUAAGACUGGGAUAACUUCGGGAAACCGGAGCUAAUACCGGAUAAUAUAUUGAACCGCAUGGUUCAAUAGUGAAAGACGGUUUUGCUGUCACUUAUAGAUGGAUCCGCGCCGCAUUAGCUAGUUGGUAAGGUAACGGCUUACCAAGGCGACGAUGCGUAGCCGACCUGAGAGGGUGAUCGGCGACACUGGAACUGAGACACGGUCCAGACUCCUACGGGAGGCCGCAGUAGGGAAUCUUCCGCAAUGGGCGAAAGCUUGACGGAGCAACGCCGCGUGAGUGAUGAAGGUCUUCGGAUCGUAAAACUCUGUUAUUAGGGAAGAACAAAUGUGUAAGUAACUAUGCACGUCUUGACGGUACCUAAUCAGAAAGCCACGGCUAACUACGUG